rnacentral:tRNA from 1 species
GGGGGUAGAUGGGUUCUGGUGUGCCCUCUGAUCUUCAAAAUCAGUGUGAGUAUUUAAGAGAUGCUCGGGUGGGUUCGAUUCCCACAUACCCUC